rnacentral:rRNA from 1 species
GUCUACGGCCAUGCCACUCUGAACGUGCCCAAUUUCAUCUGCUCUCGGAAGCUAAGCAGGGUCGGGCCUAGUUAGUACUUGGAUAGGAGACCACCUUGGAAUACCAGGGGCUGUAGGUG